AUUAAUAGCUUUCUGUAAUUUGCAUUUUACAACUGUUUUUCUCAGAUAAUGUCAAUUCCUCAUGCAGAAUAUUCCCUGUAAUCAUAGGGGAAAUGAUAACCACUUUCCAGUAGUGAGAUGAAAUCAUGGAUUUAAGUUGCUCCCUACAUUUUGAAGUUCACAACACCCUUUUCAUACAUGCUACACCUGUGAACACAAGCCACUGAAGCUAUCAAAGUAGCAGGUUCUUCACAGUUCUAUUUUUGAGACUAUUUUCAUUUUUGAAAAUGACUUUCAGGCUAUCCAAAAAGAUUAUUAAAUAGAUUUUAAAAAAGAGGUAAACAUGUCGCUCACUAGGUUGGACACAGUAAUUUACAGUCAAGGGAGACAUUUUCUGUAGUAAUUACAGAGCUCACCUUUUAUUCCUGCUUCAGGGUAGCCCAGCCUCCCUCUACAAUAUUUCCUGUCAUGACGCAACCUGUUUUUUCUCUUGUCCCUAAUCAAACAUAGACCGAUACGACUCUUCAUACACUGCACAGUAUACGGAUUUGAACUGCAACGUGACAUGUUAGCUUCUGCUACCAGUGGACACAUUUUGUCUGAAUGACUACGGAUAAGUGCAUUUGGAUCUGUAGCCUCUGGGAGCAAACUGAACUUCACGGAGUCCGAAGUUAACACUUUUCCAAACGCUUGGGUGAACAGCUGCAGACAGCACACAACACGCCCCAGAAACUUGAGUUCUCCUUGAGGAAGGGACAAAGACCCUUCUACUCCCUUGGACUCGCAGACGCCAUCCCCCAGAGCAGCUCGCGGCUCUAAACUCGUCCGCAGGUCUGCUGGGGAGCGCUCUUGCCCGAGGCACGUGAGUCCGUGGGAACUACAUUACCCGGCAGGCUCCGCGUCUAACGGCCCCCUCGCCGAGCCAAUGAAGGUUUAGCACAGGGGCCUUCCGUGUGGGACACCUAGCGCGGGGCGGGACUUCCGGCGUCCUCCUCCGGGCGGUCAUUUUGGCUUCUCCCCUGUGUUCAUCCGGGCAGAAGUUCCGGAGCGGUGGGUCUGCGCGGAGGUGACGUGCCGGAGAAGGAGUCGGAGGAGCCGUUGUCCCCGCCGCACAGAGGCGGGUCUGAGGCUCGGCGACACCGCCCGGGGCGCCCCGCACGAGGGCCUGCCCGCUCCCCGCCCCGCUCCGCCCACAGGCCCGGAUGGCGGCAGCCACGCUGAGGGACCCGGCUCAGGUCCAAGCAGUGGGUUCAGUACCUUCUCAGCAGUGGACCCUCUUCCUGUGAAGCCAGAGCCGUAUGCACCAUCCUGAUCCUGGUAUGUUUGACUCUUUUUACUCAUUUACUUGUGUUUUUUCCUUUUGGGUAACCUGGACUCACAAACACCUCUCUUCUCUUGUGUCUGCAUGCUUCUCAGCAUUUCCUCCCAUUGUGCUCAUUAGCAGUGACAACUUGUUUCUCAGUUCUGCUUGAGGGCAAGGAAAACAUCUUUUUCCAAAUACAGGCUCUGGGCUCUAAGUUCCUUCCAGAAUAUAAACUGUCAUUUGAGCUGCUGGGAAUUUUGCUUUCAGUGUUGAAUAGGCAUUGUAGGAUACAAAAGAAGCUGUUGUAUGAGCAAUUAUCCAAAGACAGAAUUUCAUGAAAAUGUAAAUGUAUGUCUUUUUCAGAUUUUGAGAGUUUAACGGUAGGAAUCCAAUGCUGAUCUGAAUUUUAAGCUAACGCCCAAAAUGUUUAUUUUGUAAACAUUGGGUGAAAAAUGUUUUGUGUGAAGGUAUGGACAGUGCGUGUGGACCUUGAGGAGUAUAAAUCUCUAAAUUGACUAAAUAGUCUUUUAAUCUAAUGCUAUGAAUGAUGCAGAAAAGGUCACAUGUCUUGUGUAGGGACCUGUUUCCCUUUAUGUUCUUAGCAGAAGAAGGUAAAAAUGUGAGAAAGCUAGAGGUUGGUUUGUGUAGUUUGAGCUCAGUUCCAACUUUCUUCUGAGGGAGGGUGGAUUGAGAACACUACUCAUUUCUAAAAAGUUUCUGCUUUUAUCAGAUGGAUGCUCAGGAAGGCUUCUUUCUGCCUAUGUUGAUUCUUACGCCAAAGUAGCUUAUUUUAGGCCAUCAACAGAAACACUUUGGGUACAAAUUUGGUUCCAGACCACUGCAAUAAAUCAAGUCAGAUGAGUCGUUGGUUUCCUAGUACAUACAUAACCGUUGUCUUUACAGUAUAUAAUAGCAUUGUGUCUUAAAAACAGUAUACAUACCUUGAGAAAUGCUGUCUUCUAAAAAAAAAACAUUAACCCUCAUCUGAGCUGUUAGUGAGUCAUAAUCUUUUUGUUUAUGACCCUGAACGUGGGGGUGGCUAUGGCAGUUUAUUAAAAUAAGGCAGUGAAGUUGCCAUAUCAGUGGAUCUUCCUGUCACAAUUUCGCCAAAGCACACGAUGCGGUUUGAUAGCAUCUUAUCCACCAACUGGAUUUCUCUAGUCUUCAGGCCUCUCCCCAGAGUAGGUUCCCCCUCAAGCAACCAGUUCUCUGGUCAUCCACUUCCGGUUUUACUGUGAGCUUGUCCCUUGCAGCAAUUUGGUCACAUCUUGUCUACUUCUUUUUUUUUUUUUUUUUUUUCUUUUAUUUAUUUUUGAGACAGAGAGAGACAGGGCAUGAAUGGGGGAGGGUCAGAGAGAGAGGGAGACACAGAAUCUGAAACAGGCUCCAGGCUCUGAGCUGUCAGCACAGAGCCCGACGCGGGGCUUGAACUCACGCGCAGCGAGAUCAUGACCUGAGCCGAAGUCGGACGCUUAACUGACUGAGCCACCCAGGCGUCCCGCAUCUCGUCUACUUCUAAUUCUAGUUCUCUUGCCAUUGCCAGCACAUCUGCAGUGACUUCUUCCAAACUCCUGCUACCGAUGAAUGGCAGCUAAAUGGAAUUCCAGAAGGAUUUCAGUUUACUUUUCUGGCCUUACAAAUCAUAUUCUUAAGACUUGAAAGUCAAAAUUACUCCUUGAUCCACAGGCAACAGAAUGGAUGUCGUGUUAGCAGGCAUGAGACAUUAGUCUCAUCAUACAUCUCCAUCAGGAUGCUUUGUCACUGAGCAGUGAUAUUUUGAAAGAGAUCUUUUUUUCUGAGCACUGUGUCUCAGCAAUGGGCUUAAAAUAUUCAGUAAACCAGGAGCACUUGGGUGGCUCUGUCAGUGAGCGUCCGACUUCGGCUCAGGUCAAAAUCUCGCCAUUUGUGAGUUUGAGCCCCACAUCAGGCUCACCGCUGUCAGACUGUCAGUGCAGAGGCCUGCCUCUUUAGAUCCUCUGUCCCUCUCUCUGCCCCUCCCCCACUUGCGCUCUCCCCAAAGUAAAUAAAUAUUUUUUAAAAAAUUAUUUAGUAAGCCAUAUUAUAAACAGAUGUGCUGUCAUCCAGACUUUGCUGUUCUAUUUAUAGCACGGGCAGGGUAGAAUUCCUAAGGGCCCUGGGCUUUUCAGAAUGAUACGUGACCCUUGGCCCUACCAAGCUUGACUUUUCCAGCUAUGAAAGUGCUAGAUGGCCAUCUUGCAGUCGAAGGCUGCUGGGUCUGCAUUUGGAAAAUCCGUGGUUCAGUGUCACCACCUUCACGAACGAUCUCCGAUCUCCGCUAGGGCUACCGGAGCACUUGCUGCCCCACCUGGUCCUUUGCGGUUAGGAGACGGCUUCUUUCCUUCAAUGUCACGAGCCAACCUCUGCUAACUUCAAACUUGUGUUCAGCAGCUUCCUCACCUCCCCUGGCCUUCAUAGAAGGGAGAGAGUUAGGGCCUUGCUCUGGAUUAGGCUUUGUCUUAAGGGAAUGUUGUGACUGCUUUGAGCUUCUGUCCAGAGCACUAAAACUUUCUCUGUAUCCGUAGUAAGGCUGUCGUGUGUUCUUAUCAUUUGUGUGUUCACUGGAGUAGCACUUUUUUUUUUAAGUGCUUAUUUUUGAGAGAGAGGGAGAUAGAGGAUCCAAAGCAGGCUCUGCACUGUCAGCGCAGAGUCUGAUGCAGGGCUCGAACUCACAAACCACGAGAUCAUGACUUGAGUUGAAGUUGGAUGCUUAACCGGCUGAGCCACCCAGGCGCCCCUGGAAUAGCACUUUUAAUUUCCUUUAAAGACUUUGUGGGUUUUUUGCAUUCAUAACUUGGCUACGGGGAUAGUUUUUGGCCUGUCUCGGCUUUCAACGUACCUUCCUUACUAAUCUUAAUCAUUUCUAGCUUAUGAUUUCAAUGAGAGAGACUUACAGCUCUUCUUUUCAUCUAGAAGCUAUUGUAGGAUUAUUAAUUGGAAUUGUUUCAAUAUUGUGUCUCAAUAAGGAAGCCUGAGGGUAGAGCAGUCAGAACAAAUACCACAGUAUUUAUAAAUUCUAGGUGGCCCUUUGAAUAGGGCCUCAUUACCUGCAAAUCCCAAACCUGUUAAGUAUUUCACAAGAGAGUCAUGAGGUUUAGGAUGUUUUCUAAUUGAAUGUCCAAAAAGAUUAUUCUUGGUGCAUGUACUGUUUGUCCCCCGCCCCCCCGGAACUGUGAGAAACUCUUAGCAUCAACACACAACAGGUUUCUCUCAGCCUUUCAUACCAUAUCCUUUAAGUAGCAAAUCAUGGGGCACCUGGGUGACUCAGUUGGUUAAGUGUCCGACUUCGGCUCAGGUCAUGAUCUCCUGGUUUGUGAGUUCGAGCCCUGCAUCAGGCUCUGUGCUGACACCUCAGAGCCUGGAACUGCUUCGGAUUCUGUCUCCCUCUGUCUCUGCCCCUCCCCCAUUCACGUUCUGUCUCUGUGUCUCAAAAAUCAAGAAACAUUAAAAAAAUGUAACUAUCCAAUCACAAAUCAUGUUCUUUGCCAACUCGAUUCAGGAGUAUAUACAUCAAAAUAUCCUUAAUGAGUCUAUAUUUUCGUCUGUUUAAGCCCCCUACAUAGAUAAAAUAUACAGUUUUAUUUGCUGCUUUCUCAGACACACGGAGUAACUCAGAACUACCUCUACAGAAGUGAGUACUCGUGCACGGUGCUCCUGUCUUUCUGUUCUCUCUUCUCAGUCCUUGCAUAGGUAAUCCUCUUACGGUAGGUGCUACGUAAAGCUGUAGGAGCUGGUGAGCACA
rnacentral:lncRNA from 1 species